GCCUGGGUGGCUUAGUUGGUUAAGCGUCCGACUUCAGCUCAGGUCAUGAUCUCACAGUUUGUGGGUUCAAGCCCCGCACUGGGCU
rnacentral:tRNA from 1 species